ACCCGAUCCGUUGGUUUCCCAAAAUCGCCGUCUCCUCUUUCUCCUAAUCUCCGCCAAUUCGACGCAGCGUCCCAUUGCCCUUGAGCUCCAGCCAGGCGUCACGCUCCGAUCAGGUGUUGACCAUGUAGUCAAUUCCAUGGAAGACCUCCGAUCGAGCAGAGGAUUACCGUCGGCCAACAACACUGGUGAGGCCUUAUCGCAUCUGGCGGUAGCACAAAGAAGAGAAAAAAAAUGGAUGGGUAAGAAGAGAAAAGGCAAGUGCAUUUCCUUAUGCAACUGUGAGAUCUAUGAGGUAUGGGAUUGGAACCUAGGAGAUGCUGGAAUGCUUUCAAUAAGCUUAGAUUGUUUCAUUCCGUGAUGCUCUUGUCCGAUUUAGGGUUUCCGUGAUGUUCUCCAUACAUUUUUGAAUCCAUCUUGUGAUGUUACCUUUCGAUUUUCGUUGUGAUGGUGAAUGAUCUUGCUUUUUGUUCAAGUUCUUGAGGAAUCGAGUCUUGGUUUCAUAUUCUUGAUGGAUUUGUUGGAUUUGAAUGUCUUAGUUCUUCAUGGGAAGACUCAGACUUGAUUGGUUCUUGCUUUAAAGUUCUUGAUGCGGACCUUACAUUCAACCGGUGGUUCUGUUUGGGAUCUCUGGACGGAUGUGUUCAGAUGUGAUUCGUUCAUGUUAUGCAUUUAUGUGUUGAAGAUAUGUGGUUUCAAAUGGUGAGAUCUGGACUGGUUUCUGGUGCCUUGUGUUGUUCAGAUUCUCUUUAAGGGAUAACUAUCAAAACCAAAAGAUGAUUAUGGUAUUCUCGAGUUCAUGUUGAGUAUUAUUGAGUCUGCGAUUAUUUAUUCGGUUGUAGGUAGUAACAAUAAGAGAUCGUUGCGGGUUUUGAUCUUGUGUUGGCUACAAGUUUUACUCUUGUGGAUGGGUAGUGUGACUAUGCAAUUAGUUUUGGAAUGCUGUUCUUUUGUGAGGUGAGGAUGACUCACAUAAUAUGACGGAAGGCCCACAGACGGAGUAGACGAGGAGACGGGAUAGACGCAUGGGUCUGAAUAUUUAGGAGUGCAGAGCAUACUGAUUUAAUUGCGAGAGAUUUUUCUUUUAUAUUUGUAAGGAGGGAGGUUGGGGAUUAUUAUCCUUAUUCAUUAAACUCUUGUUUGAUGCAGAUAUUUUCAUUGGUUAAGAUAGUUCUUCUUGAUA